ACAUUUCUUUCUAUCCAAAACAUUAUGUUUCUUUUAUUAGUGGUUGUGAGUCUCGCGUCCCUGCAUCUUGCAGCAGCAGCAGACAACAUUUUGUUGGCGACAUGUGAUGAUCAAAUGACAGUCUGGAUUGACGGAAAGCAAACAUACAUAAGGGGCCAAGGGUGCCGCAGAUACCACUGUUUACUGCCGACUACAAGGCAAGAUUCCUUUUACACUGCCAGGCUUGUAAACUAUCUGGACUGAUAGUGCCGCAGAUACCACUGUUUACUGCCGACUACAAGGCAAGAAUCCUUUUACACUGCCA